AAACACAAUAUUUCAACACUUCUCCGUUCCUGCCAAGGGAGCUUCAGAAUCACAGAAGAAAGUUUAUUUUGAACAUAUGGAAAAGAUGAGGAAUGUCCUCCCAGAGAUAACCAUCUCUAUAACCUGCAGUUGAAAGGAUCUUCAGACCUUUUCCAGCUAUUAGACAUUACUUUUGUAUAUGAGGUGAGCAUUUCCUACUUGCCCUUUUUUACAUUUGGGGAGAAUGGAGAGAUAUUUAAGUGACUGAAUACUUCUUCCACAUCUCCAGCAAAAUACUUUUAAUGUUUUUAUGACAAGCUUAACUGGAACAGUCCGAUUUUGGACGUGCUAAAGUUUAUGGCAUAAAACGAAAGGUCUUGAUUCUUCUCAAUAUUUCAAGGACAAGGGGAGUCACGUGGGGAGCUCCUCAGCAACCAUACCUUUAACACCCACUUCUCUGGCGCAUGGGGACAGGGAGUGCCAUCACCAACAAGCAAGAAGACAGAUCUGAGCAGGGGACUACUGCCGGACACUGAAAUCCUCUCCCAUCAUCACUGCUGCUGUACUAAUAUUCAGGGUGUUUCACAGAUGAGAGGACAAAUCGGCUAUGGGACAGGCACUAAGGCAGAGUGGAAGAGCCAUGAGGAUGCCCAAGAAAUGUUGCAAAGACAGCCCAUCAGUUUGGUACCAUCUGCACAUUUUGUCAUAGUUUCGCUCACUCUAGAGCAAUACUCACUGGAGACCAAAGACAUUACUCAGGAGGGUGAGUGAUGGCAAGUAUGUAGCAGCUUCCUCUCUCCCAGGGAUGAUGUUCUGACAGCCUUCCCUCCUGUUGCAGCCUCACUGCCAGCUUUUUCAUUAGAAAAUGCUAAGUCAGCCAGCUGCAUCAGUUCCACCAUAGGAGAAACCAAGGUGGGCUGCCAGCCACACCAGCACUCAGCCUGCCAUGCUGUCCUGAUGCUAGGCCAGCUCCCUGGUUGUAUACUGCCUUCAAACUUCAAUUUCUCUCAAGAUUUUGCAUUAGUGAGCUCAAACUGAAAAAGAAAUGCACUGUGUGAAAAUAGAUUUUUUUUUUCUGACAGGACAAAGAAAUAUUUCUCUCUUGCAUUUUUCCUUCUAACCAUUGCCUUGAGGGGGAGAAGGAGGGGAGGGAUAUUUAGAAGAGCAAGACCUGGAGCAGACAACAAGCAUCAGAAUGCCUAUCUGCCUGGCAAAAAAAAACAGGAUUUUUAACAUUGUCCUAUGCAAUAAGACCAGUGAUCGUUUUCUAAAUCACCAGCAGACUAUCAUGUGAAAACCAAUGUAUCAUAGAUAUAAGAGAAGAUGUAUGACAAGAUGUAUAUUAAAAAAGAGUCUAAGCAGAGAAUGCUGAUUAUUCUAAGAGAAAUUAAUCUAUUCAGUUUACUGCAAAUGUUUCAU
rnacentral:lncRNA from 1 species